rnacentral:rRNA from 1 species
AUACGUAGGUGACAAGCGUUAUCCGGAUUUACUGGGCGUAAAGGGCGUGUAGGCGGUCUUGCAAGUCAGAAGUGAAAUUCCUGAGCUCAACUCGGGCGCUGCUUCUGAAACUGCAGGACUUGAGUGCUGGAGGGGAUAGCGGAAUUCCUAGUGGAGCGGUAAAAUGCGCAGAUAUUAGGAAGAACACCGGUGGCGAAGGCGGCCUUCUGGGCCACGACUGACGCUGAGGCGCGAAAGCUAGGGGAGCGAACAGGAUUAGAUACCCUGGUAGUCCUAACCGUAAACGAUGGACACUAGGUGUGGGGGGAUGUGCCCUCCGUGCCGCAGCUAACGCAUUAAGUGUCCCGCCUGGGGAGUACGGCCGCAAGGCUAAAACUUAAAGGAAUCGACGGGG